CGCCGAUGGAAUCGAUUCAACCUUGCUUGUUUUUUUCAUCUAAUCGUCAAAUUAAGGUAGCACGGCGGAUAAGCAAGUUGGGCACCGGCGGGAUCUCAACUAAAUAGGCUAAGGAACUGGUUCAAGUGAUUGUGCUAGCAACAUUCUUGGUUAUUAUAAGGCUAGCAGGUA